rnacentral:misc_RNA from 1 species
UCCGGUUUGUCACCGGCAGUCUCAUUAGAGUGCCCUUGCGUAGCAACUAAUGAUAAGGGUUGCGCUCGUUGCGGGACUUAACCCAACAUCUCACGACACGAGCUGACGACAGCCAUGCAGCACCUGUGUUCAGGUUCUCUUUCGAGCACGAAGCCAUCUCUGGCGACUUCCUGACAUGUCAAGGGUAGGUAAGGUGGGGAUGACGUCAGUGCUUGCCU